CCGUAACGCACUUCUUGGGCGUUUCCUCCCUAGACUCGGGCCGGGGCCUUUGCCCCGGCCUUUUUUUGUGCGCGG
rfam:Azospirillum brasilense Sp245 main chromosome complete genome